UACGUAGGCAGCAAGCGUUGUUCGGAGUUACUGGGCGUAAAGGGUGUGUAGGCGGUUGUUUUAAGUUUGGUGUGAAAUCUCCCGGCUCAACUGGGAGGGUGCGCCGAAAACUGGAGUGCUUGAGUAUGGGAGAGGCAAGCGGAAUUCCUGGUGUAGCGGUGAAAUGCGUAGAUAUCAGGAGGAACACCUGUGGUGUAGACAGCUUGCUGGACCAUCACUGACGCUGAGGCACGAAAGCGUGGGUAGCAAACAGG
rnacentral:rRNA from 1 species